rnacentral:rRNA from 1 species
AUUGAACGCUGGCGGCAGGCUUAACACAUGCAAGUCGAACGAGCGGCGGACGGGUGAGUAAUGUCUGGGAAACUGCCUGAUGGAGGGGGAUAACUACUUGAAACGGUAGCUAAUACCGCAUACCAUCAGAUGUGCCCAGAUGGGAUUAGCUAGUAGGUGGGGUAAUGGCUCACCUAGGCGACGAUCCCUAGCUGGUCGGAGAGGAUGACCAGCCACACGGGAACUGAGACACGGUCCAGACUCCUACGGGAGGCAGCAGGGGGGAAUAUUGCACAAUGGGCGCAAGCCGGAUGCAGACAUGCCGCGUGUGUGAAGAAGGCCUUCGGGUUGUAAAGUACUUUCAGCGAGGAGGCGUUACUCGCAGAAGAAGCACCGGCUAACUCCGUGCCAGCCGCCGCGGUAAUAC